rnacentral:rRNA from 1 species
UGGGGAAUAUUGCACAAUGGGCGCAAGCCUGAUGCAGCCAUGCCGCGUGUAUGAAGAAGGCCUUCGGGUUGUAAAGUACUUUCAGCGGGGAGGAAGGGAGUAAAGUUAAUACCUUUGCUCAUUGACGUUACCCGCAGAAGAAGCACCGGCUAACUCCGUGCCAGCAGCCGCGGUAAUACGGAGGGUGCAAGCGUUAAUCGGAAUUACUGGGCGUAAAGCGCACGCAGGCGGUUUGUUAAGUCAGAUGUGAAAUCCCCGGGCUCAACCUGGGAACUGCAUCUGAUACUGGCAAGCUUGAGUCUCGUAGAGGGGGGUAGAAUUCCAGGUGUAGCGGUGAAAUGCGUAGAGAUCUGGAGGAAUACCGGUAGCGAAGGCGGCCCCCUGGACGAAGACUGACGCUCAGGUGCGAAAGCGUGGGGAGCAAACAGG